rnacentral:rRNA from 1 species
AACGAACGCUGGCGGCAGGCCUAACACAUGCAAGUCGAGCGAGCAGUUCGGUUAUAGCCACGGACGUGUGUAUCACGCGCGGGAAUAUUCCCUUCUCUACAAAAUAGCCCUGGGACUGUGGGAGUUAUACGAUAUACGCCCUAUUGGGGAAAGAUAUAUCGGAGAAGGAUGCGCCCGCGUUGGAUUAGGUAGUUGGUGGGGUAAUGGCAUACCAAGCCGACGAUCUAUAGCUGGUUUGAGAGGAUGAUCAGCCACACUGAGACUGAGACACGGCCCAGACUCCUACGGGAGGCAGCAGUGGGGAAUAUUAGACAAUGGGGGCAACCCUGAUCUAGCCAUGCCGCGUGAGUGAUGAAGGCCUUAGGGUUGUAAAGCUCUUUUAGCUGGGAAGAUAAUGACGGUACCAGAAGAAGAAGCCCCGGCUAACUCCGUG